rnacentral:rRNA from 1 species
GGUGAGUAACACGUGGGUAACCUGCCCAAGAGACUGGGAUAACACCUGGAAACAGAUGCUAAUACCGGAUAACAACACUAGACGCAUGUCUAGAGUUUGAAAGAUGGUUCUGCUAUCACUCUUGGAUGGACCUGCGGUGCAUUAGCUAGUUGGUAAGGUAACGGCUUACCAAGGCAAUGAUGCAUAGCCGAGUUGAGAGACUGAUCGGCCACAUUGGGACUGAGACACGGCCCAAACUCCUACGGGAGGCAGCAGUAGGGAAUCUUCCACAAUGGACGAAAGUCUGAUGGAGCAACGCCGCGUGAGUGAAGAAGGGUUUCGGCUCGUAAAGCUCUGUUGGUAGUGAAGAAAGAUAGAGGUAGUAACUGGCCUUUAUUUGACGGUAAUUACUUAGAAAGUCACGGCUAACUACGUGCCAGCAGCCGCGGUAAUACGUAGGUGGCAAGCGUUGUCCGGAUUUAUUGGGCGUAAAGCGAGUGCAGGCGGUUCAAUAAGUCUGAUGUGAAAGCCUUCGGCUCAACCGGAGAAUUGCAUCAGAAACUGUUGAACUUGAGUGCAGAAGAGGAGAGUGGAACUCCAUGUGUAGCGGUGGAAUGCGUAGAUAUAUGGAAGAACACCAGUGGCGAAGGCGGCUCUCUGGUCUGCAACUGACGCUGAGGCUCGAAAGCAUGGGUAGCGAACAGGAUUAGAUACCCUGGUAGUCCAUGCCGUAAACGAUG